rnacentral:rRNA from 1 species
UUAAAUUGAAGAGUUUGAUCAUGGCUCAGAUUGAACGCUGGCGGCAGGCCUAACACAUGCAAGUCGAACGGUAACAGAAAGCAGCUUGCUGCUUUGCUGACGAGUGGCGGACGGGUGAGUAAUGUCUGGGAAACUGCCCGAUGGAGGGGGAUAACUACUGGAAACGGUAGCUAAUACCGCAUAACGUCGCAAGACCAAAGAGGGG